UAUUUCGAUCUUCUCGCCUGAACCGUUUUUUCUUCGGCACCACCUUAUAGUAUUCUUGCAGCACACGGAAGCUGAUGAUGAUGAUGAUGAUGAUGACGGUGGGGAUGAC
rnacentral:ribozyme from 1 species